GUUGUUACGUGUGAAUAUCUUUCUGUCCCUCGCGUGUGAAUGGAACGAUCGACUGGGCAGAGAUCGCAUCUCCCUGGCUCUCCUCUCUCGGCCUCUUCCCCUCUCGCGCCCAAGGCAAAGCGACGCCGGCGGCCGCGACCUAGCCCACUCUCAGGCCAUCUCGCCGCCUCUCUCCGCCUGCGUCCCUCUCCACCCAAAAAAGAAAAACGAAGGAAAAAAAACUGAAUCAGCGACGCACCAGGUCGCCAUUCUCUGCGACGCAAGCACCAGAACAACAAGGCCGCCGGUGGCUGCGAGCGCCGGAGCGCACGGCGGGGAGAGCGAACGACGAGGCGCGGUCGGCACAGACCAGAGAGGUGCUGGGGCAGCUUCUUCUUCAGAGAUGUUUCUAGGUCUGCUGAAUCCGCAUGUCCCACAUGGAAAAUUGCUAGCUGUGGUGCUUGUGGCCGCUUCGACCUCCAUUGCUGCCGCUGCUUCGUCGCCGAGUGAGCAGGCAGGGAGCAGCCAGAAAUCUUUCAAUUGCAUGCCCUGCUCUAUGACAUACGUUUCUGAUGCAUAUCCCGGCGCCUUGACGCCACCGCUUGCUCAACAUAAUAACUUAGCUGACGUACCUCAUUCGUCUGACUUGUGCAAAGGACUUACUAAUGACCUUGAUGUGCCUGUGCUUUUGGAAUCGCACCGGCAACUUGUUGGUGAAGGUUCCCACCGCCGUCUUGUCUAUUCCAUGAAAUUUGGUAGCAGCAAAGAUACUUUGGUAAAAUUCCUUGAUGGCUAUGAUGCGAAUCUUGUGAUAAUUGAGAGCCUCCCUAGUGGGGUCUUUGUUGACCCAUUUGAGCUACAUCAUUUUGUUGAACGAAAAGUUUUUCUUGAUGUUGCUGUUUUUGGAGACAAAAACCUGGAACUACCCUCAGCUCUGUCCAACCGGUCAGCUGUUGAGAUUCAUUUUGAUCUCAAGCCAAGCACAUCAAUGAACUGUAACCUUGUGAUGGAGCUUCCUCUCCAUGCUAGAUACCCACCUCUCGACGCCAGCGGUUAUGCAACGGUCGAGUUCGGCAGCCCUGACCUGCUCCUCCGUUACAGAAGAAAGGUGACCCAUCCUGAUUCCUGCCUGUGGGUCCUCCAGAAUUUCGACGCCACACCUGUGGAGAAAGCCGCGUGGUACAUGCCUUGUGGCGACGAAGCGCACACAGGAUUUGUCUCUAGCCUCGCUUUCAUUUCGGCUCUGGUUUGCUCCAUGUCCAUAGUCCUGGCAGCCUCCCUGGUUUCUUGAUGCAAGUACUGGAUUCUCGAGACAUGAUGUGUUGGUCUACUUCAAAAGUCAGAUUGCUCUCGCAGGCUUUUGCACGUCCAUAUGCAAUCUGCAGUUUUCAGAGGAAACCAAGAGCACUGUUGUGCUACCCUUUGUGGCAUGUGGGCGAUCUGGACCCUCAGAAAUAAAAGAUACCAUGGGGAGACUACCAUGAACAUCUCACAAGCAUGCAGAUGGGCCUGGGAGAUGGCACCAGAUAUGAUCCAAACAUCAAAUUCUGAUGCAAAGGAGAAAAAAAAAACUAGAAUCAUGAAAUGGAAACGCCCCACUGUAGGUUUUGUAAAGGUGAAUGUUGAUGCAUCUUUCAAUUUGGAUACUCAACAAGGAGCCAAAGGGGUGAUCAUUCGGGAUGACCAGGGUCAGGUUAUUGCACAAUC